AUGAACGCUGGCGGCGUGCCUAAUCCAUGCAAGUCGAGCGAACAGACGAGGAGCUUGCUCCUCUGACGUUAGCGGCGGACGGGUGAGUAACACGUGGAUAACCUACCUAUAAGACUGGGAUAACUUCGGGAAACCGGAGCUAAUACCGGAUAAUAUAUUGAACCGCAUGGUUCAAUAGUGAAAGACGGUUUUGCUGUCACUUAUAGAUGGAUCCGCGCCGCAUUAGCUAGUUGGUAAGGUAACGGCUUACCAAGGCAACGAUGCGUAGCCGACCUGAGAGGGUGAUCGGCCACACUGGAACUGAGACACGGUCCAGACUCCUACGGGAGGCAGCAGUAGGGAAUCUUCCGCAAUUGGCGAAAGCCUGACGGAGCAACGCCGCGUGAGUGAUGAAGGUCUUCGGAUCGUAAAACUCUGUUAUUAGGGAAGAACAAAUGUGUAAGUAACUAUGCACGUCUUGACGGUACCUAAUCAGAAAGCCACGGCUAACUACGUG
rnacentral:rRNA from 1 species